UAGAACGACCUCUUUCCACAGAAGAUACU
rnacentral:piRNA from 1 species